rnacentral:rRNA from 1 species
GGAGUUUGGGCCGUGUCUCAGUCCCAAUGUGGCCGGUCACCCUCUCAGGUCGGCUAUGGAUCGUCGGUUUGGUGGGCCGUUACCUCACCAACUACCUAAUCCAACGCGGGCUCAUCCCAUACCACCGGAGUUUUUCACACAGAACCAUGCGGCUCCGUGCGCUUAUGCGGUAUUAGCAGUCGUUUCCAACUGUUGUCCCCCGGUAUGGGGCAGAUUGCCCACGCGUUACUCACCCGUCCGCCACUAAGUCAUAAGAUCUUCAUUCCGAAAAAAUCAGAUCAAAUGCUUCGUUCGACUUGCAUGUGUUAAGCACGCCGCCAGCGUUCAUC